AUUGAACGCUGGCGGCAGGCCUAACACAUGCAAGUCGAGCGAGCGGCGGACGGGUGAGUAAUGUAUGGGAAACUGCCUGAUGGAGGGGGAUACCUACUGGAAACGGUAGCUAAUCCCGCAUACAAUAAGAUGUGCCUAGAUGGGAGUAGCUAGUAGGUGGGGUAACGGCUCACCUAGGCGACGACCCCUAGCUGGUCUGAGAGGAUGACCAGCAACACGUGAACGGAGACACGGUCCAGACUCCUACGGGAGGCAGCAGUGGGGAAUAUUGCACAAUGGGCGCAAGCCUGAUGCAGCCAUGCCGCGUGUGUGAAGAAGGCCUUCGGGUUGUAAAGCACGUUCAGCGGGGAGGCGUUACCCGCAGAAGAAGCACCGGCUAACUCCGUGCCAGCAGCCGCGGUAAUUC
rnacentral:rRNA from 1 species